CUCCUGGUGUCUGAUAAUGUUUGUACUCCUCAGUCCUCCAACAGUACGUAUUCUCUCUCUUAGCUCCUAGUGCCUUUUUCUCCCAGCUCCUCACAUGCGCACCACAAACUGAAGUGAGCUCCUUUUUAAACCCGGGUGCCCUGAUUAGCCUGCCUUAAUUGAUUCUAACAGCUUCUUGAUUGGCUGUAGGUGUUCUAAUCAGCCUGUCUGUCUCAAUUGUCUCCAGAAGGUUUCUGAUUGUUCUGGAACAUUCCCUGUUACCUUACCCAGGGAAAAGGGACCUACUUAAUCUGGGGCUAAUAUUCUGCCUUCUAUUAUUCUCCUGUAGCUAUCUGGCCCGACCCUGUCAAAGUGGUAU